GUCAACUCUCAUACCACCUGGAAUAUGUCCACUCCCAUCUGAUCUUAGAAGCUAGGCAGAGUCAGGCCUGUUAGUACUUGAAUGGGAUAAAUGUUGAUU
rnacentral:rRNA from 1 species